rnacentral:piRNA from 1 species
CACUAAGAAGGGACUCCCAUU